UACGGGGGGGGCAAGCGUUGUUCGGAAUUACUGGGCGUAAAGGGCUCGUAGGCGGCCAACUAAGUCCGACGUGAAAUCCCCAGGCUUAACCUGGGAACUGCGUCGGAUACUGGAUGGCUUGAAUCCGGGAGAGGGAUGCGGAAUUCCAGGUGUAGCGGUGAAAUGCGUAGAUAUCUGGAGGAACACCGGUGGCGAAGGCGGCAUCCUGGACCGGCAUUGACGCUGAACAGCGAAAGCCAGGGGAGCAAACGGG
rnacentral:rRNA from 1 species